CUCGACUGCUCCCAAAAAUCGCAAAACGUCGCCUCUGUCUCGCGCCCUUGGCCCCUCGCCAUUGAUCGCUACAACAACCACUCAAAUCUCCUCAAGUGUAAUAAUGAAGUCAUUAAAAGUUGCAAUCACAAGUAAAUAUGCAAAUCUACCUAUUCUACCAUCGCCACUCACGACAAUCGCCGGUCAGCCGCGCGCCUUCGCCACUUUCUAGUUCGCCAGCUCGCCGCGCGCCUUCACCACCCUCUAGUUCGUCGGCUCGCCGCGCCUUCAUCUAAUCUUCUUCGCGGCUUCGCCUAAUGCCCUAAUCGCUUGUGUAAUCUGAAUUGCAAAGAAGAAGUGGUAUUUUAUUGAUGGUUAACCCUCACUUGAAUCCUGUGGUUGGGAAGCCAUGGUUGACAUACUUUGCCUGGUUGUGAAAUACACUCAAAAUUUGGUUGGGAAGUCGUGGUUCUCCAAAUCAUCAGGUGGACGGUAUGUGUUAAGGAUUGACUGGAAAAACAUUAUGACUACGAAGCAGCAGUGGAUGGAGCAAAUGUUGGGCUUUAUCAACAAAACUUUGCUGAGGGUGGCUUUAGUAUUUCCCAGGUCAUGAAUCUUUGAAUUGUCAUUGCUUUGCGAAUUUUUGUUCUAUUUCAUGUUAAAGUUGUUACUAACUUUGUUCUAUUCCUAAUUAUAGAGUUAUAUACCUUAGCAUUAGUUUUACAUCUCUGUAAUGAUAUGCUUAUGGAUAUGGUCACUACAAUUUAGGUACUGGCUUUUUGGUGCUGUGAAAUUCAAGUGUUUGCUUGUGACAAAUGACGAAAUGAGAGAUCAAAUUUUUAAGCUUUUGGGUAGCAAUUUCUUUAUCAGGUAAGGUACACCUUUGUGAAAGGUGACCUGGAGCUUUUGAUGCCACCGUCAUUUUCUGGUGUCAUCCAGCUGGUGCAUGCUUCAGGAAGGAGAAACAUCUCUGUUCGUUAAAAUAAAUGAUUGUUAUCACCUGUGUUAUGAAUGGAUCAUCAUUGCGUGUGGGUGGUGAAUUGCGUUGGUGCUUUGAACUACAAAUAUGGGAUUUUGUCCCAAAGCCACAAGCUCACAAAGAAACUCCUCUAAGUGAAUUUUUAAUGUUGAGGUGACUGCUCUUAAUAGUUUUGAAGAGAAAGAGGAACAAUUCAGGGAGCAGGUGGUGGUGGUAAUCACUUGUCAAGGAACUGCAAGGAAUUAAUAUGUAGCCUACUGGUCAUGUGCGGAGUUUGUGUUUUUGCAAGGAUCACUUGUUAUCAAGAAUACUAUUGAAUACUGUGCUUAAAAAUCACUUGUUGUUAUUAAAAAUUACUAGCUAUUAAUUAAUAUUAUCGAAUACUAUUGAAUGUUAUUAUUUGAAUGUUA